CUACGGGAGGCAGCAGUGGGGAAUAUUGCACAAUGGGCGAAAGCCUGAUGCAGCGACGCCGCGUGAGUGAAGAAGGCCUUAGGGUUGUAAAGCUCUUUCAACGGUGAAGAUAAUGACGGUAACCGUAGAAGAAGCCCCGGCUAACUUCGUGCCAGCAGCCGCGGUAAUACGAAGGGGGCUAGCGUUGUUCGGAAUUACUGGGCGUAAAGCGCACGUAGGCGGAUUGUUAAGUGAGGGGUGAAAUCCCAGGGCUCAACCCUGGAACUGCCUUUCAUACUGGCAAUCUAGAGUCCGGAAGAGGUGAGUGGAAUUCCGAGUGUAGAGGUGAAAUUCGUAGAUAUUAGGAAGAACACCGGUGGCGAAGGCGGCCCACUGGAUCGGUACUGACGCUGAGGUGCGAAAGCGUGGGGAGCAAACAGGAUUAGAAACCCUUGUAGUCC
rnacentral:rRNA from 1 species